rnacentral:rRNA from 7 species
GACCUCGGAUCAGGUAGGGAUACCCGCUGAACUUAAGC